GAUAUGAAAACACAUGAAUUUUGUUCUGCUUUCAUUUCUGUUGAUAUUUUUGUAGAUGUUUCUGUAGGAGUCUUGGAACUUUGUGCCACGUCUAAAGUAUGUUUUUGACAUGUUAGCCAGAGUCUCUGGCACACGGCACGGAGUCUUUAUAUCCGCUUUUUCAACACAAUCAGGAUUCCUAACACAAGACUGCCAUGGACAUUAUUGACUACAGAGAUUUAAUGACACGUGAUAGUCUUCUGCUCUUCUUGGACUUUUAUCAAACGCUUGACUCACUGGAACAUGACCUUCUUUUAAGUUUCACAAAUAUUUAAAGGACUUAAUUAAAAAUAAAAUAAUUAACGCGUUUUAUUUCUUGUUUUACGGCAGCCAAUGGCUGCACGAAGUACUACGAUAUCGUCUGCCGACCAACAACGUAGAAGAAGAAGAAGGAAUAUGAUUGGUUCUCUGUGGGAGGCGCCAAGAUAAACAGGAAGUGGCGGCAAAAUGACUUCGACGGCGUCACUUUUUUUGUGAGCCAAUGGCUGCACGAAGUACUGCGAUGUCGUCUGCCGAUCAACAACGUAGAAGAAGAAGAAGAAGGAAUAUGAUUGGUUCUCUGUGGGAGGUGCCAAGAUAAACAGGAAGUGACGGCCCGACGACCAUGGCGGCAAAAUGACUUCGACGGCGUCACUUUUUUGUCAGUGCGAGCGUGACGCUGACCUGGAUGACUCUCAUGUUGAGGCCGGUCUCCUGGGCCAGUUGCUCCCUGAUGUGCCUGGUGGGUUUGGGGGUCGCGGCAAACGCCGCCUUCAGCGUCUCCAGCUGCUUGGCCUUGAUGGUCGUCCGCGGGCCGCGCCGCUUGCCGCCCAGGUUCUGGUCGUCGUUUUCGUUAUUUACAGUUUCCUUAUCCGAGAGGGCGGCCAUCUCCGUGUCCUUCAGGACCACGUCGUCCUGCAGGGGGUCUUGGGAGUCCGGGGAUAAACUGGGGUCACUGCACGCCGUAACUGGAAAUGAGAAUGUUUUAAAUGGAGAUUAUAAUCACAUCUGAUAUGCAAACAAAUGACGUAAACACUCACUGUGUAGGUGUGGGAAAUGAAUACUCUUAUAAUACAUGUUUCAUAACAACAUCGUCCAAAUAUACACAAUCUAUUCCACAUAUUUUCUAGCAACCCUUCAAACUGGGGGAUUUUCACAGCUGUGGCUGUAGGCAACCUCCCAAUAUAUACAGUAUAUAUCUGUUUUAAUUAACUCCAUAAGAUGACAGAAGCUGUAUUAGGAAUUUCUGCAUGCGCUUUAAAAUGUUGCUACACAUCUGGUUGGUGAGAUGAAUUAUAAUAAAUAUCUUUAAAAUAAUUAAAAGAAAUUGGAUACAUAUAUGGCCUAUAAUCUGCAUUUUGGGAUGAAUAGUUUGCCUAGUUAAUCCAUCCAUCCAUUUUGUACCGCUUGUCCCUUCCGGGGUCGCGAGGGGUGCUGGAGCCUAUCUCAGCUGCAUUCGGGUGGAAGGCGGGGUACUCCCUGGACUAUUUAAUAUGCAACAUAAUUAGCUUCGCAUCGAAAAACAUUAGCCGUUGUGGCAAUAGGCAACCCCCCUGAUGUGUAUUCAAAAAGAUUAACUCCCAAGAUGGCGGUAUGGAUGUUUGAAUUGUCAUGCAGUAUCUGCACGUCCAUUACAGAGUUGAAAAUAGUUCAUUCUGUAUGCUUGUUGUUUAAAUGGUUUGUAUGUCAAAUUGGGCAACAUGAUCUCAUUUUGAGUGACACCUUGCGUUGUUAAAUGUAAAGCAUUCAUUUUCAUUUC